CUUCGCGAUGUUUCUUCCAGACCCCGACCUCGACCGCUGCACCCGGCGAUGCCGUCGUCCUCCCUCGACGGCUGCCUCCUAGCGCUGUGGCCGCAUCUCAGGCCCCUGAGCCGGCACAUGGGUGGUCCUCUCUCUCCUGUUCCUCCCCUCUCUCCGUUCCUCUCCUGACGCGGGUGGAGCGGCGGCGGCCUUGGCAUGCGGCGUAGCCCGACGGCGUGCGGCCGGCUAGUGGCUGUCCCCGGCGACGGACACCGUUGACUGCCGCCGCAGCUUCCCCGGCGCUGCCUCCUCCAGGUGUCCCCUAUGCCAUCCACGAAACCCUAGCAGCUUCUUCCUCACUACUGUUGGCGGCCGCGACUUAGCUCAGGGCUCUAUCUAGUGGUAUCUGACCAUCCUCGUCUCCUACUUCCCAUCAUGGCUCCUCCGGCAGACCCCCUCUAUCCCUCGUGGACAUGCGCUGGCAGUUGUGCAGGUUGCGAGAUCCACCACAUCUCCUCGGUCCAUCUGCUCCCGAAUCAGGGGACGAUGGUUGGUUGUCCUAUGUUGCCGCAGUUGGCGAGAUGCAGCGGGUACCCUGCGCUGCACGUCUGUGCUAGGCCGCUGGCCCCUGUUGGGACUGGAUAGUGCCUCUGCAUCUAUCUCCUACUAUAAGUGAGAGCAAAUUAAUUUGGAGAUAGUAACAUAGUGCUAAGUUUUCUAUUGUGCAGGUUGACUUAAUGCUUCAUUAAAUUGAUCAGCCCUUGCAUGACGAUUUGUGCAAUGUUAAGACUUAAGAGAACCCUGCAAUUGAAUACGGUGAAAAAUUUUUCAAAGAUGUGAGUUAUAUUAUUAGUAUUAUUAUUGAGGUUGUAUGUGUUGAGCCCUUCUCUACUUGAAAAAAAAAGAACCCAUGAAGCAUGGAGGCAAACAUAAUUGCAAAUCAAUAUGAGCUGCCUAAAUUUGAGUUUGAGUAUUGGGAGGUAUGCAGUUCCCUUUAAUAUAUUUUAUUCAUGCAGGUUCUCCAUUUAUAGUAAAGCCAUAAUUCACCCUGUUAUUUCAUAAAAAUUUCUCUACACGUACAUAUGCGUAAUAAUAUUUAGUGCAUGCUCUUCAUGUCCACAUACAAAGGAAGAGAGUUUCAUGACCUUCAAAACUACAUGUGUGUAAUGGCUAGAACAAGUCUUCAAAUUUCUUAUGCUUCGCUUCGAGUUUGGUUCAUCUAUACAUUACACACAAAUUUCUGUCAAUUUAAUAGAUUUGGUAUUUAUUAUAGUGCCCUUAGCUUUAUUUAGAAUUCAUAUCUUUUUGGGGAUGGAUGGUGCAAUAUCCUAAUUCAUACUUACUCUACACAAAGUGCUGCAUGGUCCAUUUUAUAUGAGACUUGAUCCAAGAUGCUGAUAAUUGUGGACCAAUAGCAGACUCAGUUCAGAGUUCAGAGAGCUUAAUAUGCUUGUCGUCAAGUAGGUGGGCACAACAAAAAUAAGCAAUAAUUAUCUGCAUACUCUGCUGUUAAGGAAGUCUAAUUGAACACUAAAAAAAUAUUCAGUGUAAGUCAAAUUAGAUAGUUCACAUGCAUGUAAAGCUUGGUUAUAGGUGCAGUGUGUGUUAUGUUCUAGGUCAUAACAACCUUUCAAAGUUCAACCAAUAAUAUGGUUACUAAAAAAAUAUUGAACAGUUAACAGUUUGUAUGGUCCACAUUUGCCUCAAACUGCGCCUUUUCCCAUUCUAGGUUACCAAAGAUGGCAUUGCCACCUUUGUUUAGGGCCCAAUUUUUCAGAGAAUUCGUGGUGUCCUGUUCUUAUUAAUGAUCCCCUCACUAUUGCAGAGCUGAAUGCUUGUCCAGUUUUGGAGUUCACUUAGCUUACAUGCUGCAGCAAGUCACCCUCAAGCAGUCCUGGGCUCCAAGAACGUCAGAAGUUGAUUUAUUUGGUCUACAUUCUCAACUUACUGCAAUUUCAAUUCUCUUUACCGCUGCAGGUGAACCAGGAAUCAUUUAAAAAUGCUUUUGCCUGCGGCAGUUGGUUAAGUAGAGAACACCAUCUAAUUAGCAAGCUAUUUUUAAAUGUUCCAUUUGUACAUAGUUGUUUGGUAAAAGAAAUGUUUUACAUGAGUUGCUUAUGAAACAAAAAACUUCCUUUGGUGGUACUAAGGAUUGUUUGCUUCUUACCUGACGUGGUGCACUAGAAUGGUUACUUUCAUAACAUCUGUACUUACCGUACCUCCAAACUUAAGUUUCCAUAAUACACUUUUUCAUAUUGUUGUUAAAAUCUGUGACAUUUUUACGCACUGGGUAUCUGAUGCAGCAGUAGCUUCUACUACAGUCUUUGCCAAUAUAGAAUAUGGUCUCCCAGAUAUUUAGAAUGUGUUUGUAACUCAAUUCUUAUCUAUACAACUACAUGUAAGUUUCCCGGAAAGAAUUGGUUCAGUUUUCUGGUUUUCAUGCAGCUGGCUGAUUUGUCUAAAGAUGUAAUCAUUCCUCUCUUUACAGAUGGCCGAACCUGCAAUGCCGAAUGCUUUGAUAAAGAAUGAAGCUUCAAGUUCCAUCUUUGCUUUGUCAAUCAUGGGAAACACCUGAUUUUGCAAAUUGCUAAUCACUUACAAUCUGCUGUUAAUUCAUCAUCGAAGGGAUACAAAAAUUGAAGCUCAUUUUACUAGCCACUCAUUGCUGCCUUAUCAUGAUUAUCAUAGCAGUUUGUCUUUAGGGUACUUUGUUACGUUGACUUAUCCUUAAUAUUGAUGCUUUUGUUGUGCCCUAUAGCAUUAGUCUCGUGUCUGGCGACCAUUCCUUGAUAGUGUAUUCGUUUAGGUCUAAUUUGAAGAUGUCAACCAACAUAUGUUUCUUC